GGCGGACGACCGCGUGGAACCUCCAGGGCGCGACGACAGAGCGCCUAUGCGGACUGCGGUGGUGCCGGUGCCGAUGUGGCGGUGCCAGCCGCAGAAAACUGGAUCAGUAGCUGACCUGGGGCGCGGCGGGCCGACCUAUCUAAAUGAACAUCGCGCCGGCCGAGCCACCACCCGACAGAGCAGAGGAGUGCAUAAGAAAUCGAAAUCCAAGGAGUUUUGGGAAAUUCGAGAAACUGUUUGGGUUUUCGGACCCCGCUUGCAGCGUAGGUCAGACGAGCUGCCGGUCCCGAGGACGGAGCUGGUCCCUCGGAUGAAGCUGGCGGAUCCGUCGGAGCUACUGGUCCCUCGGAGAGACCAAGCUGGCUGGUCCUUCGGAUAGGCUGGCCCCUCGGACGGAGCUGGUUGGCCCCUCGGACGGAGCUGGUUGGUCCCUCGGACGGAGCUGGUUGGCCCCUCGGACGGAGCUGGU